rnacentral:lncRNA from 1 species
CCUAAAUGCCCUUCCCCUAUGAUGAGACUAAUGACUGCUUUUUAUGUCAUUCCAGAGACCUCAUCCAGUGGCUGAUGGAAGCAGAGGCAGACACCCACAGAUAUACACUGAACUGAACUCUGGAACUUAGUUGCAGAGUUGGAGGAAUGGAGAUCAAAGGGGUCGGUACCAGGCUGGUGAAACCUACAGAAACAGCUGGCCCGAACAAGGGGGAACACAUGGACCCCAGACUGCUGUCUGGGAGCUAAGACUGGCAGUGAUGUUGAAGAAUGACGGAACGGGAGGCCCUCGCCUCUCUCCUCAUCUUACUGGAUAAAUCCCACUCUGGUGCUGGAUUGUUGGUUUUGGAAAGACAUUUUCACCCAACUUCCCCAUCCUGGAAUUGAAGAAGGAAAUCAGAAGGCAGACUGUCAAGACCAGCAAACAUUUGCAACCAUGGAACCAUGUGACGUCCUCAGGAGACAAGGCCUGAGAAUAGCAUGAAUGGCUCUCCUUGUAGCAAAGCCCUGGAGACCCUGACCCACUUGGCAAGGACGUCACGUCUCUUUUCAAACAAGACCUCCUUCCUUUGAAAGGAAACCUUGGGCCCAUGUGUGUUUGGCAGGUGAUUAAAGCAAGCUCUGUUUACAGGUUUUUCUUUGACCCAGAAAAAGGGGAGAGAAAAAAAAAGACCAUGGUGACUUUCCUCUCUGCAAAGAUUUUCAACCUUAAUCAAUGUUGUGAUGACACCCCAACACCAGUACUUUGGGUUCAUGUUGGCAAGCAGACCAUCAGACAGCCUAACUAGG